rnacentral:lncRNA from 1 species
UCUUCCAAUGGACAAUGACCCGAAACAUACUUCCAAAGUUAUGGCAAAAUGGCUUAAGGACAACAUAGUCAUGGUAUUGGAGUGGCCAUAACAAAGUCCUGACCGCAAUCCUAUAGAAAAUGUGUGAGGCAGAACUGAAAAAGCAUGUGCGAGCAAGGAGGCCUACAAACCUGACUCAGUUACACCAGCUCUGUCAGGAGGAAUGGGCCAAAAUUCACCCAACUUAUUGUGGAAGGAUACUCGAGACGUUUGACCCAAGCUAAACAAUUUAAAGGCAAUGCUACCAAAUACUUAUUGAGUGUAUGUAAACUUCUGACCCACCUGGGAAUGUGAUGAAAGAAAUGAAAGCUUAAAUAAAUUACUCUCUCUUUUAUUCUGACAUUUCACAUUAUUGAAAAUAAAGUGGUGAUCCUAACUGACCUAAGACAGGGAAUUUUUACUAGGAUUAAAUGUCAGGAAUUGUGGAAAAACUGAGUUUAAAUGUUUUUGGCUAAGGUGUAUGUAAACUUCAGACUUCAACUGUAUGUAAUGUAUGUCAUUCACUCGUUAAGGUCUGAAGAAGACAGGUUGAAAGAUUGAAAACGGCGGCAAAAACAAAGCACACUACAGGUAGGUGGAGUCAUAUGAUGAGUGGUAUAGUCUGAAACCAAUGUUUAAAGACCAAUAUGUUUUAGGAUGAUGUAGAUGACUCCCCCCUCCCCCCAAGAAGUCACAGCAGGUCACAUCAGCAUCCAGCUUUGCAAGAGCAGGUACUGUGUAGGCCAUUAGCUAAAGUAAGGUGCAUUCUUGUACAAACAUCCCUAGAGGUUCCCUUACAUUACUUAAUGACCACAAUCUAUUUUCUUUCUAGACCAUACUAAAAAUGAAAUGCACGGCGAACUGGGAGCUGUGAACUGGGAUGCAGAUUUUCUCCUAAGGGACACCCUAGUGGCAGCAAGGUGGUGUGAACGCCAAACAUUUAAAGGCACUGUUUCCCUCCCUAGUGCAAUUGGGAUGGACGGGGAAGACCGCAUUUACAACCCUUAAAUAACUACGGUUGUAUGAUGGCCUGGAUGAAUAGGAAAAUAUUCUCCUCAAGGAACUGACCGUCUUUGCCUCUUUUGAGGAGCAGGAGUGAAGCUAUUUUUGAGGAGUGGUCAAACCUUGUUUUUGUCUGCUGUGUUAAUUGUUUCAAUUGUUAAUUGUGUUAUUUAGUAAAGAUGACGUAGCAGUCACCCGAGUCUCUGGUCUCUUUACUGGAGCUGGUAUAACUGUCUAUAUGGUAUAGUCUGUUUCCAUUCUCAUGAGGAAAGUAAAUAGCAUUAUAAAUCAGGAUAGGUAGUAAG